AAUUGAUUAGUCUAAAAAAGACCCUUGUUUUGAAUACAAAAAAUGAUUUAUAAAAUAAUCAUCAAUUU
rnacentral:tRNA from 1 species